UGAGGCCGAUCUGGCUGCAACAUCUGUCACCCCAUUGAUCGCCAAAGUUGAUUCAGCUGAUCUGACUGGCUAGGUGGCCUCUCCACCCUCA
rnacentral:snRNA from 1 species